rnacentral:tRNA from 1 species
GCUCCCUUCGUCUAGUGGCCUAGGACAUCGCCCUCUCACGGCAAAAACAGGGGUUCGAGUCCCCUAGGGAGCG